UACUGUGCCAGCAGCCGCGGUAAUACGAGAGGUGUGCCAAGCGUUAUCUCGGAUUUAUCUGGGCGUAAAGCCGUGCGUAGUCGUUCUAUUUAAGUUCUGAAUUGUGAAAUCCCCGAGUUUAACCUUGGGAGGUGCAUUGGAUACUGGUUGGCUAGAGUAUGGGAGAGGAUGGUAGAAUUCCAGGUGUAGCGGUGAAAUGCGUAGAGAUAUGGAGGACUACCGAUGGCGAAGGCAGCCAUCUGUCCUAAACUGACGUUGAGGUACGAAAGCAUGGGGAGCAACCAGGAUUAGAUACCCUGGUAGUCCAUGCCGUAAACGAUGUUUAUUAGCCGUUGGGGCCUUUGAGCCUUUAGUGGCGCAGCUAACGCGAUAAGUAGUCCGCCUGGGGAGUACGGUCGCAAGGCUAAAACUCAAAUGAAUUGACGGGGGCCCGCACAAGCGGUGGAGCAUGUGGUUUAAUUUGAAGCAACGCGAAGAACCUUACCUGGCCUUGACAUCCUUAGAACUUCCCAGAGAUGGGGUGUUUCCUUCGGGAACUGUGAUACAGGUGGUGCAUGGUUGUCGUCAGCUCGUGUCGUGAGAUGUUGGGUUAAGUCCCGCAACGAGCGCAACCCUUUUCUUUAUUUGCCAGCACUUAGGGUGGGAACUUUAAGGAUACUGCCAGUGACAAACUGGGGAAGGCGGGGACGACGUCAAGUCAUCAUGCCCCUUACGCCCAGGGCUACACACGUGUUACAAUGGUCGGUACAAAGGGUUGCAACACAGCGAGGUGAUGCUAAUCUCAAAAACCCGUUCGUAGUCCGGAUUGGAGUCUGCAAUUCGACUCCAUGAAGUGGGAAUCGUUAGUAAUCGCGGAUCAGAAUGCCGCGGGGAAUACGUUCCCGGCCCUUGUACACACCGCCCGUCACACCAUGGGAGUUUGUUCCACCAGAAGUAGGUAGUCUAACCUU
rnacentral:rRNA from 1 species